GGAGGUAGUGACAAUAAAUCACAAUGCGGGACUAUUCGUCUUGCAAUUGGAUUGAGAACAAUGUACAACUCUUAUCGAUAAGCCAUUGGAGGGCAAGUCUGGUGCCAGCAGCCGCGGUAAUUCCAGCUCCAAUAGCGUAUAUUAACGUUGUUGCAGUUAAAAAGCUCGUAGUUGAAGUGUGGGUGGUGCCUACUUCAUGACUUCGGUUGUGAGGUAGAUCACCACCCCCUUCCAGUAUCCAGUAGUGGGUAUUCAGUUACUUACUAUUGUGUGUUGGUCGUUUACUGUGAGAAAACUAGAGUGUUCAAAGCAGGCGUUUGCUUGAAUAGAUUAGCAUGGAAUAAUAAUUGAAGGCUUUCGUGUUCGAUUUGAUUGGUUUGUUCAUGGAAGCAAGGUUAAAAGGAACAGUUGGGGGUAUUCAUAUUCACUAGUUAGAGGUGAAAUUCUCGGAUUUAUGGAAGAUG
rnacentral:rRNA from 1 species